rnacentral:lncRNA from 1 species
UGGCCAGGCCUAGUGCCUUCUGAAGUGCUCUCAGUUUUGUAUAUUCUUUUGUCGGCGCGUUUAUUUGCACUGGUGGCGAACUUUGAUGCCCAGUGGAUGUAAUAUGUGUGAUAGCCGUGAUAGCCUAGCGUAAGUUGCUUGCUUAUUUAUUUCCUUGUUGUCUUGUUUAUUUGUUUGCUUGUAGUCAUUGCAGUUCUUUUUCCGCGGUUUGCUAGUGGCUGCAAUAACCUAUUUUUUAAAACUAGGCCACAAUAACCAUGGGCUAAUAUUUACUGUAGUGACACUGGGCCUCCUACGGGCCGUAGAAACAGUGGGCCUUCUACGGGCCGUAGAAACAGUGGGCCUUCUACGGGCCGUAGAAACAAUGAGCCUUCUAUGGGUCGUAGAAACAAUGGGCCUUCUAUGGGCCGUAUCAUCAAUGGGCCUUAUACGGGCGGUAUGAUCGAUUGGCCAAACAUGGGCCAAUAACAGGCCGCAUUAUGGCCGUAAACGGGCUAGAGUUGGAAUCGUCCGUUCAUGGGCCGACCAUAACGGGCCAUCGUUAAUAGGUCGUAUUUGAUGACGCUAUGAAAACGGCCCAACGUAUUAACGGACCACAAACGGGCCGACUGUAACCACGGGCUGAAUUUGGCCCAGAAGCAGAAAAUGAUAGUAACGGGCCGUAAGUAAACGAAUGCUGGAAAUGAGCCCAAGAAUAAAUGGGCUCUGAGAAGGGCGAAAGAUAACAUGGGCUAGAAAUGUCCCAACGGAAUAACGGGCCGUUAAUGGGUAUAUAGUGAUACACUGUUCAUUACGGGCCAGUUUCACCACGGGCCAUUAAUGGGUGUAAAGUGAUACACUAAUCAUUACGGGCCAGUUUCACCACGAGCCGUUAAUAGGCCAAGAGUUACAUAGGGCCUCAUAUGGGCCGAAAGACGUCAUGGGCCAUACAUGGGCCAGAAGUGAAAACGGGCUGGAAUCAUAUUGGGUGGCCCAGAUGACGCUACUGGGCCUAAUUCGGAUAGGGUGUAACAGGCCUUGGGUUAGCGGGCUAUAAAUGGGCUAUAUGCGAACAGGCCGUUAACAGGCUUUACAUGCACUAGUACAAAACAGGGCUUUCGUCACAGGGCAAUAUUCACAUUAGUCCCGGUUCAGUCACGAACCGGGACUAAUGUGACCAUUGGUCCCGGUUCGUGCGGCUAAGGCAUUAGUCCCGGUUCACCUGGGCCCUUUAGUCCCGGUUGGUGCCACAAACCGGGACUAAAGGGUGCGAUGCCCAUUAGUACCGGUUGGUGGCAUCAACCGGUACUAAUGGGCUUUGAGGCAUUAGUACCGGUUCAUGGCACGAACCGGUACUAAAGGGCCCAUCAAACUCUACCCCCCNNNNNNNNNNNNNNNNNNNNNNNNNNNNNNNNNNNNNNNNNNNNNNNNNNNNNNNNNNNNNNNNNNNNNNNNNNNNNNNNNNNNNNNNNNNNNNNNNNNNNNNNNNNNNNNNNNNNNNNNNNNNNNNNNNNNNNNNNNNNNNNNNNNNNNNNNNNNNNNNNNNNNNNNNNNNNNNNNNUGAUGGAAAUGUCAAAAAAAUAAAAAUAAAAUAAGUUUCCCAUGUGAUAUGUGGUCUAGUUGUUGGGAAAAUUAACAAAUAUGAAUUUUGACUUUAUUUGCAAAAUCUCUCUGGAAUUUCUUAAAAUGGGCAUAACUUUUGCAUACGAACUCGGAUGAAAAAGUUUUUUAUAUGAAAAAUCAUCUACUCGAAAAGUUACAUCUGAGGGAGAAUAGAACCCGGAAGUUAAGCGUGCUCAGGCUGGAGUAGUGAGAGGAUGGGUGACCGUCCGGGAAGUUAGAUGAUUUGGAAUGAUGAGGGGUGAUUAGAGAUUAGAGGAUAAAUUGAGCAGUGAUGAGGGGUGGUGAUUAGAGAUUAGAGGUUAAAAUAAUUCAGAAAAUUGAAAAUAAAAAAAAAUCGCAAAAAAAAUUUCAAAAAAAAAUAUCAUAAAAUUUCCUUUAGUCCCGGUUGGUAACACCAACCGGGACUAAAGGUGGAGCUCCAGGCUGCGUCCACGUGGACGGCCUUUAGUCCCGGUUCGUGUAAGAACCGGGACUAAAGGGGGGAGGCAUUAGUAACGACCCUUUAGUCCCAGUUCAAAAACCGGGACUAAAGGCCCUUACCAACCGGGACUAAAGCCCCCUUUUCUACUAGUGAUGGGCCGGCCCGCCACCUUUUGACCAAGUCAAACGGGCCGGCCUUUUCACAGGAAUGGGCCUCUGUUGGGCCGUGUCGACGUAUCAUAGGCGCCUUCUGUCCAAUGAGUGGAUGACAUCUGUCCCAACGAUGAGCCGACACGUGUUUCCUCCAGCCAAUGAUGAUUUUACACGUGGAAAAUCCCCAUUGGUCGGGGCUGUUAACGGGUUAUCGGAUCCAAAACCCGACCCGAUAGCUUAACGGCGUUCCGUUACGGUGGAUGCCACGUGUCGGUCACCCUUGACUAAAGCACUUCUGUGACGCGGGAUUUAUCGUCAUGGAAGUGGACACUUCCGUGAUGAUAAUUUUGGUAAUGUCAUGGAACACUUCUACGACAGCACAGGUAUGACUAUCUUGAUUCUGUCAUAAAAUCGUCAUGGAUGUACAUGCAUGACAGAAAAUGCGACCUAGUGUGACAAACACGUAUCAUCACGGAAGUGUAUUUUUUUGUAGUGCAUUAAUCCUUUCGAGGAGCAGAGCAGCAAUCACAGCACCUGGCCCGUGACUCUAUGUAUGUAUAACCUUCCUCCUUAGAUGUGCAUGAAGCGGAAGUUCAUUAUGAUGCCAGUUCUCAUCCAAGGCCCUAAGCAACCCAGCAACGACAUUGAUGUGUACCUAAGGCCAUUAGUUGAAGAACUUUUACAGCUGUGGAAUGGAAACGGUGUACGUGUGUGGGAUGAGCACAAACAGGAGGAAUUUAACCUGCAGGCGUUGCUGUUUGUAACCAUCAAUGAUUGGCCCGCUCUCAGUAACCUUUCAGGACAAACAAACAAGGGGUACCACGCAUGCACGCACUAUUUAGCUAACACUGAAAGUAUAUACCUGGACAAAUGCAGGAAGAAUGUGUACCUGGGCCAUCAUCGAUUUCUUCCGACCAACCAUCAAUGUCGAAAGAAAGGCAAGCAUUUCAAAGGCGAGGCAGAUCACCGGAAGAAGCCCGCCAUGCGUACCGGUGAUCACGUACUUGCUAUGGUCAAUGAUUUACAUGUAAUCUUUGGAAAGGGUCCUGACGGACUAGCUGUUCCGAAUGACGGUGAGGGACGCGCACCCAUAUGGAAGAAGAAAUCUAUAUUUUGGGACCUACCCUACUGGAAAGACCUAGAGGUCCGCUUUUCAAUCGAUGUGAUGCACGUGAUGAAGAACCUUUGUGUGAACCUGCUAGGCUUCUUGGGCGUGUAUGGGAAGACAAAAGAUACACCUGAGGCACGGGAGGACCUACAACGUUUGCACGAAAAAGACGGCAUGCCUCCAAAGCAGUAUGAAGGUCCUGCCAGCUACGCUCUUACCAAAGAAGAGAAGGAAAUCUUCUUUGAAUACCUGCUCAGUAUGAAGGUCCCGACUGGCUUCUCGUCGAGUAUAAAGGGAAUAAUAAAUAUGCCAGAGAAAAAGUUCCAGAACCUAAAGUCCCCUGACUCCCACGUGAUUAUGACGCAACUGCUUCCGGUUGCAUUGAGGGGGCUUCUACCGGAAAACGUCCGAUUAGCCAUUGUGAAGCUAUGUGCAUUCCUCAAUGCAAUCACUCAGAAGGUGAUCGAUCCAGAAAUCAUACCAAGGCUAAGGAGUGAUGUGGCGCAAUGUCUUGUUAGUUUCGAGCUGGUGUUCCCACCAUCCUUCUUCAAUAUCAUGACGCACGUCCUAGUUCAUCUAGUCGACGAGAUUGUCAUUCUGGGCCCCGUAUUUCUACACAAUAUGUACCCCUUUGAGAGGUUCAUGGGAGUCCUAAAUAAAUAUGUCCGUAACCGCGCUAGGCCAGAAGGAAGCAUCUCCAUGGGCCAUCAAACAGAGGAUGUCAUUGGGUUGUGUUGACUUCAUUCCAGGCCUUAAGAAGAUAGGUCUCCCUAAAUCGCGGUAUGAGGGGAGACUGACUGGAAAAGGCACGCUUGGAGGGGACUCAAUAAUAUGUAGGGACGGGCAUUCUUGGUCUCAAGCACACUACACAGUUCUACAGAACUCUACCUUGGUGACCCUGUAUGUCGAUGAACACAAGAACAGUCUGCGCUCCAAACACCCGAAGCAGUGUGACGACUGGAUUACAUGUGAACACAUCAGGACUUUCAGCAGUUGGUUGGAAACAUGUCUCAGAGGUGACAACACUGUUUGUGAUGAGCUUUACUUGUUGUCCAGGGGACCAUCUUCGACUGUAUUGACUUACAAAGGAUACGAGAUAAAUGGGAAUACAUUUUACACGAUCGCCCAAGAUCAAAAGAGCACCAACCAAAACAGCGGUGACCGCUUUAAUGGAGCAACCAAGAGGGGAAAGGACACAUAUUAUGGUUACAUAGUGGACAUACGGGAACUUGACUACGGACAUGAUUUUAAGGUCCCUUUGUUUAAGUGCAAAUGGGUCAAUCUGUCAGGAGGCGGGGUACAGGUAGACCCACAGUAUGGAAUGACAACAGUGGAUCUGAACAAUCUUGGGUACACUGACGAACCGUUUGUCCUAGCCAAUGAUGUGGCACAGGUUAUCUAUGUGAAGGACAUGUCUACCAAACCGAGAAAAAGAAAAGAUAAGGAAGCGAAUACAUCAUACGAUGAGCCAAAGCGCCACAUAGUUCUUUCAGGAAAAAGGGAAAUUGUGGGAGUGGAGGGCAAGACAGACAUGUCUGAAGAUUAUGAAAAUCUUCAUGAAAUUCCUCCCUUCAAAGUCAAGGCUAACCCAAGCAUCCUGAUAAACGAUGAAGAUUAUCCAUGGUUACGGCGCAAUAAGCAAAGGACACAAGCGAAGAAAAAGUGAAGACUUUCUCUCCACAACUAUUAUGAUGAUACCAUGCCAACUUUCAACCUUUUCGUAGUUCAUUUGAAAUGCCUGUUGUAACAGACGAGUUUCCGUAUGAAACCCUGAUAUCUCGAAACAGAUUGUCCGUUUUGUACACGAAGUGCAUCUAGUUUUUGCCGUAACCCUCUCAAUUUUUUAGCACAUGCUAUGUGGGUGAAAUGAUGAUACCAUGCCAACUUUCAACCUUUUCAGAGUUCAUUUGUAGUGCUUUUCAAUUUCAGGGUCAUUUAGCUCAAAAAUAUCAGUGAAUGCAUGAAAAAUAACAAAUGAAGUCAGAAAGGGUUGAAAAUUGCUGAUGUGGCUUUGAAUGGUGCAUUUUGAACACACAAAGAAUCUGGAGUUCAUAUAAGUUCAAAAGAAUGAAAUCCCUUUGUAACAGAUGAGUUUUCGUCCGAAACCCUGAUACUUCGAAAGAGAUUAUCCGUUUUAUACACGAAGUGCAUCCAGUUUUUGCUGUAACCCUCUCACCUUUUAGCACAUGCUAUGUGGGUGAAAUGAUGAUACCAUGCCAACUUUCAACCUUUUCAGAGUUCAUUUGUAGUGCUUUUCAAUUUCAGGGUCAUUUAGCUCAAAAAUAUCAGUGAAUGCAUGGAAAAUAACAAAUGAAGUCAGAAAGGGUUGAAAAUUGCUGAUAUGGCUUUGAAUGGUGCAUUUUGAACACACAAAGAGUCUGGAGUUCAUAUAAGUUCAAAAAAAUGAAAUCCCUUUAAUGAAACUCUAAUAGCAAAAAUAAUAAACUAAAAGAAUGAACUAGAAAACUUUAAUGAAACUCUAAUAGAAAAAAGAAUGAACUAGAAAAGUUUAAUGAAACUCUAAUAGCAAAAGGAUUCAACUAAAAAUCUUUUAUAAAAUAAAUAAAUAAAGCAAAAAAUAAAAUAAAUGUGUAGAAACAAAAUAAAAUAAAUAAGUGGAAACAAAAUAAACUUUAAUAAAUAAGUAGAAACAAAAUAAACUUUAAUAAAAUAAAUAAAAAUAGCAAGAGGAAGUAUUUUGUUGUAAGUAGAAACAAAAUAAAAUAAAUAAAGCAAAAAAGAAAACAAAAAACUGGGAAAAAAAUAAAAAAAAUGCCACCUACUGGGCCACCACGGCCUGAAUACGACUAGAAACCCAACCAUGGGCCAGGAUUCAGGCCCAUAGAAGGCCCAGUAGGCCCACGGGCAGCAUAGUGUGUGAGUAGGCCCAGUAAGCCUGCAUUUGAGAGGAGCUCGAGUGGGCAGCUGCAGUGGGGCUUAUAAACCACUCCAAGCUCCUCUCAACUAGCGAGGUGGGACUAAACAUUUGGGCGUGGGCAGGACAAGGCCUUUGGUCCCGGUUGGUAGCACCAACCGGGACGAAAGAGGGGCAUUGGUACCGGUUCGUGGCAGCAACCGGGACCAAUGCCCCCUUUAGUCCCGGUAGGUGCCACCAACCGGGACCAAAGGUCUCUGUUUCCCGCCCUUUGGCCUGCUGAAAAGAGGCCUUUGGUCCCGGUUGAUGUUACGAACCGGGACCAAAGGGGUGGAUUCGUCCCGGUUCGUGCCAAGAACCGGGACUAAAGCUUCAUGUAUAUAAAGAACACUUGUGAAAAUUUUGGUUUUCAUCUUGCAGUUUGCCCUCGACGACGCGUGCGGACCUCCUCGACGCCGCCAGGCUGCCGGACACCGUCGCCCACGCCCCCGCCCCGGAGCCCACGCCGACGCCGUCCCGUCCGCCGCCCACGCCGUCGCCUUCGCCCGUGCGCCCCUGNNNNNNNNNNNNNNNNNNNNNNNNNNNNNNNNNNNNNNNNNNNNNNNNNNNNNNNNNNNNNNNNNNNNNNNNNNNNNNNNNNNNNNNNNNNNNNNNNNNNNNNNNNNNNNNNNNNNNNNNNNNNNNNNNNNNNNNNNNNNNNNNNNNNNNNNNNNNNNNNNNNNNNNNNNNNNNNNNNNNNNNNNNNNNNNNNNNNNNNNNNNNNNNNNNNNNNNNNNNNNNNNNNNNNNNNNNNNNNNNNNNNNNNNNNNNNNNNNNNNNNNNNNNNNNNNNNNNNNNNNNNNNNNNNNNAGUCACAGUACUAAAUUAUUAAAUUACAGAGUAAAAAAUUUAUUUGAACAUUCUCUGAUUUAGGUUAGUACAUUAGAUGUUAGGUUAGUGUGCAUUUUAGGUUAGUUGAAUUAGAUGUUUUUUAGUAAGUGUUUAAUAGAAUUAGUUAGAAAAAUAAUAGAACUAGUUAAACUAGUUUAUUUUUAGUAAGUACUACUUUAUUUUAUUUAUAGUAAGUGCUUAGUUGAACUAGUUGAUUUAAUAAAACUAGUUUAUUUUACUAUAGAAGUAGUUUAUUUUUAGUAAGAAAAUUAAUAGAACUAGUUUAUUUAUUUUUUUAGUUAAAGCAAUUAUUCCCGCAUCGACGUCGACGAUGCCUAUCCCACAUCCUCGUCCUCGACUCGGCGGAGGAGGCCUGCUUGAUCAGAGGGGUCAUGUCCGGGACUGGGCUCCGCCGGGCUGGUAUUGGGAGGUGCUACCUUCCGGGGGGCGUAGGUUGGUGAGAAGCCAGCCCGUCGUUGACCCGAUCCUUGUUUGGUGGCGGUCGCGUGGGCCAGUGAUGGUGCCAAGGCUUUCGGACACCGCAGAGGUGGUACGUCACCGUGUCAACGAGGAGGAUGAGCACGUCCGUCGCUACAUGGUUGCGUUGGAGGGCAGGUUCUUCAGGGAUCUCACUGGAGCUAUGAUCCUGUGAUGGUUCCUUCUCUUUGGGUGUCCACCGCCCGCGCCGAUACCCGUCGGGCGCUAUGGUUCUAGCUGUAUUAGCGAUGCUAUAUGUAUGAUACUAUUCGAGGUGUAUUAGUGAUAAUAUUCGACGAUGUACGGACGCAAGAGAUGAUGUAGUUUUGCUUAUAAUUGAAUGCAUGAUAAUUUGAAUACUACUUUAUUUUACGAUUUGGUUUUGCUUAUUGAAUGCUCAGAUUGGAAAACUACUCCUACUUUGAAUGCUAAAAUUGGAGAGCACUAUGCAAGGCGUAUGCAUUUGAUUAGUUGAUAGCUUAUAGGGUUUUUGUUUUUGCAGAAAUCUAGGAGCCCCCUCCAUCAUCCCCGCCGUCGUCCCCGUCACCGACCCCCCUCCGACCUCAAGGUGAGACCAGCCAAAUCUCCAUGUCAAUAUGAGUCCUAUAAGAUAUUUUGAAAUGUUUUUUCUCAUAUUUUCAACCAUUGAAAUGUAAUGGCCAUCAAGUUUGAAUGCUCAUAUGAUGUAGAUAAAAACAUGUACAUUUCCAUUCCGGCAAAUUUCAGGCGCUCGAUAUGUCCUUUUUGGAAAGAUAAUUAAACGAUAUUUCGGGUUGAUUUUAAGUCUAUCGAGUCUCUACCACAUAUGAGAGGACGAAGAAUCCCGACUGUUGUCGUGGGGGUAGCUUCUCCUUCAUUCCCGUGUGCUAGACAAUUUGGUGUAAUGCACUCAGGAACUAAAGGAGGAGCUACCAUCACCGACGGCCGCAAAUGUCAGAGAGGAAUCAGUGAGGGAGAGUCUCCACCAUAUAUAUAUGAGAGGACGAAGAAUCCGGACUGUUGUCGUGGGGGUAGCUUCUCCGUCAUUCCCGUGUGCUAGACAAUUUGGUGUAACGCACUCGGAACGAAAGGAGGAGCUACCAUCACCGACGGUCGAAUAUGUACACCACGUGAGCUGAGAGUUUUCAAGAAAAGACUCGACAGACCGAUAGUCAACCCGUGAUGAAUAAUAAUGAUCUAAUUUAGGGUUUUUAGUACAUAUAUUUAAUUGUACAAGUUUAAUAUUUGAAUUAUGAACAUAGGAAAUGUCGUACUCGGACGACGAAAGUCUCCCGGGGGAGUGCGACUGGUGCCACGACGACCGAGGUCUGUGCGACAGGCCUCACCUAGACGAAGAUCGGUGCUUCAGCAUUAAGAUCGAGGAGACCUUCGAUGUUGAAACGGUACGCAACAACGACAAGUGUUUUUUUUCAUAAUUAAGCACAACUUCAACUAUUUCAACGUGUAAUUUUCAUCUUUUACAAUUCAACUAGCUUAUCCCAUGCCAUGCAAGACGCUGUGUCUUGGAGAGGAUGGGUUUUGAAUACCAUGAAAGUAUGGAAACAAAGAAAAUUCACCUAAGGACCCAUCAUGGUAUGGCUUUCGAAGUAAAUCUGUACAAUUAUGAGAGCGUAACCCAUUUUGGUUGCAAAAAAUGGGAAGCACAUUGCAAAAUGUAUGGUUUUCAUGAGGAUAUGCUUGUCAGCAUGGAUCUUGGUGAUCCUGAAAUCGAGCAAGACAAUAUGGACAUUUGGGUCCUUGUUGAUACACCUCCAAUUGUACCGCUAUGUGAAUUUCUCAAACAUAGUUUUAACUAAUUUAUAUUGUUUAUUUCAAAAUAGUUGACAGCUUAUUUCCAUUGACAGCUUAUUUUCAUUCUUCAAAGAAUGUGCGGAAGAUGGUAGACAAAACCCACUACACCAAUGGCUCCGAAUUAACUUAUCAGGAGAAAAAUCAUCUGAUCGCAUUUUGUACUGAUCUUGAGAAUUACAAUAUCUACAAUCAAACUCCUCAACAUUAUGGUCAAUACAUGCCACUAGUGCACGUGUUGAACUACGGUAACUACCACGGAGAUACCCUGGUAAGAUUUUGUACUAUUACGACAUCCGUGCAUCUAUUGCAUACUUCUAAAACUAGUACGUCAUUGCUAACUAUGAAGUUAUUACUAUGUUUUUCAACAGAGAAUACCGACAGAUUGUGUGCCUCAUUUGAUGUAUCAGAAUGGUAGCCUUGAUGUUUUGAACAUACAUCCAGGUCAUCCUAUGAAUCUCAACUGUCCAUACCGGAUUUCUAAAAGAAGUGGAGACAUGCUAAUCAAAGAAUGGAAAAAAUGUAUGGACGGUCGUAAGGAGGUUCUUGGAAGCAAAAGGAAGCGAAGCGCAAGAAUUGGAGACAGGAUGAUCUCCAUUCUCCAUAAUGGAGAGUCAGGGUCUAUAUUGUUUUAUGCUAUUUUACCUUAAAGAGGGUAUUUAGGUCCUACCUAAUACUGAUGAUCAUGUGCUAAGAACAAUUAAGUAGGGUUGGUUCGAGACUAUGAGGAUGAUGAUCGUAUGACUUGUUAUUAAUAACGAGUAGAAGUUAUAUGAUGAUGAUUAGUAGGACUUGUUAUUAUGAUGAUGCAUGAUGCAAGCAUGAAGAGUUAUUAUAUAUCAGUGGGUGAAAUGAACAUGGAUUGGAUUAAAGUGAAGGCAACAUGCAUGUGGUGCAUGUCAAAAGUAGUACAAUCCAAACUUGAUCAAGUUAGGAUUAGUAUUACUUUCGACAUGCACCACAUGUUGCCUUCACUUCAAUCUAAGCAUUGUUUAGGCAUAGCAGUAGCGUUGGUAAACCAAGGGCGGAGAUAAGAGAGGACACUUCUCUCUAUUAGCUAGCUAACAACCUAAAUUAACCCCCAAAACCCCUAAACCACCCCCUUUCAAAAAAAACCUCAGCUCCUGCUAGCUGCUGACGCGUGGAUGCCUUUUGGUCUCGGUUGGUGCCACCAACCGGGACCAAAGGCCCUCCUGCCUGGGCUCGCCGCAGUGGCCACGUGGAGGCCCAUCUGUCCCGGUUCGUAUAAGAACCGGGACUAAAGGCCUAGGGCUUUAGUAACGACCCUUUAGUCCCGGUUCCACAACCGGGACAGAUGGGCCUUACGAACCGGGACAAAUGGCCCUUUUUCUACUAGUGAUGCUCGGCAAUAAUUCGUAUGUCAUUUACCAUGUAAGCUUACUACCUGGAUAAUGCGAUAAAUAUCUCUUACUUAUGUCCAGCGGAAACCUUUCAGGAUGUUGUUCACACUAGGACACAAUGUACAACCCCAGAAUCUAUUUGUGGAAGCAGUGCGCCAUCCAUGUUACGAGAUGGUAGCAGUUCACAGGCAACACUGUCGGAGAGCAGUCUGAGCACAAAUAUUAUAGUUCUUGAGGCUCUACUAGAGGCAGAAAGAGAUGGUGUGGCUGCCAUGAAUGAGGUAAUCUUUAUCUUGAGGCUGGAAGUAACGCAAUUACCUACACGCAUUAUGCAAGCAACCCAAGAAUUGGAGGAAGUAAGAAUGUUGCAUUUGAAGAUGGAGGAGGUCCUGUUGUUUCUGCUAUCUGAAGCCCAGGGUAAUCCUAGUUCUUCUUUAGAUACCAGUUGAAAUUUUCAUUAGAUUAUUGUACUUGCAUGUUGUGUCAUGUCUCUGAAUGGAUUAUGUUGUAAGACCCCCUAUGUUGUCCAUGUGUUGUAAUGAUCUAAAUUUUUUAGGCGAGGUAAUCCUUAGUACUUGUAUGAUUGACAUAAGGUGAACUGUUUUUCGUGUGAGCAUAUUGUAUUAGAUGAAAUAACUGUUUGACUCAAAGUGUAUCCAACCUACUGAAUUCGAAGAUCACGACAUGUCUAAAUCAUAAUCAUAUAUAAAGGUGGAAUAAAUCUUUGUUGUGGUUUUGAACAAGGGACAAUUGCAUUUUUACCCCUAGUUGGUUCCUACCCACGGGUUUUGCCCUUAAUUUUCGAGCUUGCUCAGUUUUGCCCUUACUUUUUCCGUCGAGGUCCCUCGAAUGCCCUUUAACCGUUUGACCAAAACUUUGAAAAUUCAUAACCAAUUCAUAUGAACUCAGAAAAAUACAAAUAAGAUAUCAAAAUGUUCAGAUAAACAUUACUUUUGUGUGCAUAUCAUUUGCACUAAGGACAAAAGCACCCUUUAAACUACCUGAGGUAAUUAAUGUUAUUAACAUUAUUAAAAAUAAAAAGGUAUAAACAAUAUUUUUUUUCAUGAAUAAAAAUUACAUGCAAAUGUAGGUGAUGUUUUCUGAACAUCCAGAUAUCUUAUUUGCAUUUUUCUGAGUUCGUAUCAUCUUGUUAAGAAUGUUCUAACGACUUUGACCAUUAUUUGGAAACUUCAUAACAAGUUGAUACGAACUCAGAAAAAUGCAAAUAAGAUAUCAGGAUGUUCAGAAAACAUCACCUGCAUCUGCAUGUAAUUUUAAUUCAUGAAAAAAUAUUUUUAUACCUUUUUAUUUUUAAUAAUUUUAAUAACAUUAAUUACCUCAGGUAGUUUAAAGGGUGCGUUUGUCCUGAAUGCAAAUGAUAUGCACAUAAAGGUAAUGUUUAUCUGAACAUUUUAUAUCUUAUUUGCAUUUUUAUGAGUUCAUAUGAAUUAGUUAUGAGUUUUCAAAGUUUUGGUCAAACGGUCAAAGGGCAUUCGAGGGACCUCGACGGAAAAAGUAAGGGCAAAACUGAGCAAGCUCGAAAAGUAAGGGCAAAACCCGUGGGUAGGAACCAACUAGGGGUAAAAAUGCAAUUGUCCCUUUGAACAAAUAAAUAACAAACGUAGAAUUACUUGUGGAUAUUCGUACAAAUUGGAUUUGAAUUUAGUUGCCAGGGCCCAAGGCAAACGUGAAUGCUAAUUUUCCCAAGUUUUGAACGAAGCGGCUAAACACCCACUAUCAUUUGUGGGCUGCCCGAAGCAAGUGUUUGCCAGACGGAAAUUACUGUCUACCCCUGACACUUUGACAUCCUUAUCAACCGGAUUUACACUUCUGUCGAUAGGGGUAGACUAGUAACUUCAAUCAGACAUGACACGACCGCCUGUGAGCCCAUUUAGACACGGUGGGUGCCAAACGUGUGGGCAAAACACAUUUGAUUCAAGCUCGCCCGAAAGACAUGUGUCUCUCCCUCCAUUUCCCCAUUCAUACACGGUGGGCGGCAAAACAAACUCUCCUCGUCCGAAAUCGAUGUAGGCAAAUAUUUUAAAUAGGGGCAGAUGUGUAACUUCCCUCAGACGUGACACAACCGCCCUACCUGUCAGCCCCGUUCAUACACCGUGGGCGCCAACCGUGGGCGGCUAAACACCCUCUCCUCGCCCGAAAUCGCUACCGGCAAAUAUUUGGGAGAUGCGAGAUUACCGUCCUAUCCCCAACCGACGUGAUGUCCGAAAUUUUAAACGGGGGAUAAGUUCGUAACUUUCCCACAUUUCAGACAAGCGCGUCCCAAAGUUUGUGAUCCCCCCCUCCCCCUCCGUUUCCCCAUUCAUACACCGUCGGCGCCACAACAACCUCCUCAAUGUGGUCAGCCUCCGUCGUCCUCCACCCCAUCCUCCACCUUGCCGGAGCCGCUACCCCUACCCCGUCUUCCACUGCAGGAGAUGGACGUCUCUCAUCCACGGCGCCGGACCAGGAUCCUUUAUCGUGUCCUCUCGCUUCAUCGGCGUCGUCGUCCACGUUGUCGUUGCCGCUCCUACGACCGCCUCGUCCACGGCAACAGGAUUUAUCCCCCGGCCUGCCGUCUGCCAUCUAAAGUCUUCUUCCCCGCCGCCGACAGCCAUCGCACCCGCAGCACCCUCAACGUAUCAGCAGGGGCCUACACGGCGUCGCAAGAGAGGUGGUACUCUUCUAUAUGAGCUUAAGUUAUUGAUCUCAUCCAAAAAUAGAUCAUAAAUUAUUUACUGUACUUUUCUUGUCCGUACCAAAUCGUAGUGGCUAGUUGAAAGCAAACAUUGGUUGCGAAGUAGCUUUGUUCGGUUUGCACCUUCAGAUCCUCCAUGGCACGGUCACUAUACUCGUAAAGCUUAUGGUCACCCCUUUAUAUUCACUACCAUCAUCGUAGGUGCUUCGUGUCGUGCUAGCACUGCUCCUCAUGACCUCAACCCAUCAAGUGAAACAACAUGCCACUCAUAAUUCCAAAGCUUAGGUGUUGAAAUACGAAUCUGAUAUGAUGCUCAUAUUACUAAAAUAGAGAACUUUUAAUUGGUCACCUAAUGUUCCUAUAUUCAUUUCGAAAAGCAUCUGCGCCACCCACUAGUCCAGCUAGUUCCACUUUCCUGAUUUUACUCUUGAUGCUUAGGGUUUUCCUCUUUUAUCUACUCUACUAUGACCUGCAUAGGUGCUUUCUGUCGUACUAGCAUUACUCCACCCUUCAAGCUAAACAACACAACACUCAAAAUUCCAAAGCUUAGUUGUUCAAUAUGUUUGUGAUAUGAUACUGAUAUUAGUUAAUAGACACAUUUAGUUGGUCAGCUAAAGGUCCCACUUGAGUUUCCAAAUGCAUGUCGCGACAUAUAGAGAGACAGCAGAAUUGCAUUUCUUUGUCACUUGUAGACUGUACUUUCUUGUCCAUACCAAAUCUUAGUUGUUAUUUCAAAGAAAACAUCGGUUGCUAACUACCCUUUGCGCGGUUUGCAGCUUCAGAUCUGCCAUCCCACUGCCACGGUCAACACUAUACUCAUCAUGCUUACGGUUUCCCAAUUUUAUGAUGAUCACAUCAGCCUACGUGGUUCGUGUCGUAAUAGCACUUCUCCACCCAUCGAGCUAAACAAGCUUUUACAAAUUCAAAUAUGAUAUUAUGCUGAUAUUAGUAAAACUGAGAGAUGUUUAAUUGGUCAGCUAAAUGUUCCUACUUUAGUUUCGAAAUGCAUGUGAGCCACAUAUGGAGACACCGGAAGGAAUAGUAUUUAUCUGUGCGCUCUGGUUCAUCAUGGGUGGGCAAUCGACAUUGUAUAGAAAGACUUGUACUAUCUUCAAUCUGCUUGAUCUUCUGCUCUUCUUUAAGAUGAUCCUCUUCUCUUCUUUAAUAAGUAUGUUCCUUGUUGGGAAGAGUAGCAGAGACAUUUGUGGUCGACUGGUCAGGUCGAGUUGUUCUCCCUUAGUAUAUUUUGAAUCUGUCAAGUCAGGUUGACUUGUUCUUCUUUACUAUAUGUUGAAGCUGCCAUCUGCGAAGUAUCAUCACUUCUGGAGCUCUCAUAUUCUGAGUAGUAGGCCACAUUAUAUUAAUGCACACACCAAAUUACAACAUUCAUGGCAUCUCUCAGAAGAAUUGCAGAGAUAGCACAAAGGGGUUUACAGGGAGGCAAUAUUGGAUUAGAAUCACUUCUGCAUUACAAAGAUAAUCUCACUUUUUUUUUGUUUUCAUGCAUGUCAGGUAUUGAACAUUAUCAAAAUGAAUAUGAGAAUGGGCGCACGAAGGAAUAUUGCGGAACAAUCCACUGGCUAACAAACUUGGGAUGGUGGAGGAUGGCUUAUCUUAUUCACCCAUCAAGGUGCUUGCUCUAACUUGGCAAGGUUGUAUUGGUCGCAAAUAUUUUGCAUCUGACCUCUUGCAUUACUUCUACUUUGUUACACCAUCUGCUUAGUUUAAGCAUCAUAUAUGAGUAUAUGCCAUACCUAUCCAUUUUCUGACCUAUUCCAUGUGUCGUCAUACUAUGUUUUUCUAGUCAAAUGUUGUUCUUUUGUAAUAGAUGUCCAAAAGGAAGAGGGUAAGUGCAGAUCCUCAAGGAGUACAAACUAGGUAUUGGAAAAGGUAAUGAUACCUGUUAAAUCAGAUAGAUCAGCAGCCACAGAAAACACAGACCCAACUGUACCACACUUUACCCCUACUCCACUGGCCAAACCCUUAUUAGAACUGCUGAGAGCCCAGCGUCAGGUACUGUCUAUGAUAUCAACUGAAAAUUUGGACUCCUAAAUUUCUGCAUGUGCCUUACCUUCUCUCUUGUAUGAAAACUAAUUUCAGAUGAAUCGCCUUGCUCAAAGGAUCAUAGGAUCUCACAACAAUACUGGGCUCUGCAUUGCUCUUGUCAGUACCUCUUGCCCUUUGUCAGCAUACUUACACUCAUUGUUGUUUGAUCAUGUAGCAUCACUGUAAAUGUGCGCUUCUUUAUCCUCCCUUUGCUUGAAAUUAUAAGAUCUAUAUUUACUCUUAGAUAAAUGUAGAACACAAUGGUUAUGAAGUUUUGGAUUGCUCAUGUAAGUACCUGUUGUCAUGUACCACCUCUGUAUCGAAUUAAUUGUUGAUCAAUUGGAUGUAUUUACAACUUAAUAGUGCUAGAUACAUCCAUUUGAGCGACAAGUAAUAAUGGACGGUGGUGGUAUUACUGUACUUGCAUCGUGAGAUAGUUGAUUGUCUAGCAUUACUCUGCAUCUUAUCUUCCCUGCCUUCCACUUUCUCCAAAUUAUCAUAUCUACAUUUACUCUUACCAAAAUGUUGAAUAAAGCCAAUGCCACUGCACAUGUUGAUGUCUGCAUUCCUCUUGUCAGUACCUUUUUCCUUGUAACCCUGUACUUAAUUAAUUGCUAUUUGAUUAUGUAUCAUCAGUCUGCACCUGAGCUUCAUUAUCCUAUGCUUCUUCCAAUAUUAUUUGAUCUAUAUUUACUCUUUGCAAAAUGUAGAAUAAUGGCAAUGCUUAUAAAGAAUUUUCUUUGGGGAAUUUAUUGAAUUAUCCUUCCAUCAACAUGGAGAAAGGCUAUGUCCAGCCCGUGUUAACAUGUAAUGUAAGUUCAUCCUUCUCAAGCCUUCAAACUUUGUUCUAUUAUAGAUUUGGAUAGGCAUCAUUUCCUCAGUGUUGUAUACUUUGCUGUUUACAUUUGAUUGGAUGUUUGCAACAACUACCAGUAUUAAAUUGUAGUUUAAAAACAUGUUCCUUAUGCAGAACAGAUCCAUUUAUUUGCUUAUAUAAUUGUGAAACCUGUUACGUGUCUCCUUGUUUCUCUUUCAGAGUCGUAUCUCUUAUGCCAGGCAGAACUUUAAGUAAGAUAGUGAGCCAAACCAUAUUGAGGACAACGAGAUGACCCCGAGGUCCUGUCUUGAUGAAGAUAGUGAGUUGAAGCUACUCACCAGCAGGUGUGAGACAACCACUGUGCAGUCGCUGCCUUAAUCAGUUCGACUUCUUCAGUCUCAACUUAAAGCGGAAAGUCUUGCUUCAGCUCAGCUCUGACUUGAAGUCAAAGAUGCAAUGAAGAUGUCAGAGGACUGCCUUGCGCACUAUGGUGCCAUACAGCUAGGGAUGGAGCAUCUAUCGUUGACACAACUGAGGUCUCAUCAGCUUGUUCGGCUGCUUGCGGGGCCCGUCCUGGCCAGGCCUAGUGCCUUCUGAAGUGCUCUUAGUUUUGUAUAUUAUUUUGUCGGCGCGUUUAUAUGCACUGGUGGUGACCUUUGAUGCCUAAUGUAUGUAAUCCGCGGUCACAUUGCGCUUUAUUAUCACCGGUAGCGAACUUUGAUUCCCAGUGAUGUAAUAUGCCGUAAUUUCUUUAUUGUAUAGUCUAGGUUUAUUAUUUGGUCGGUAUGCUGUAAUUUAGGCCGAAAGGUUUAGUGGAUCUCAGUGUUGUCGGUCUUCAGGCCGUCCCGUUACUCAUAUGGGCCAAAACGUGGGCCUAUAAUCAUCUUGGGCCAUUAGCAGGUCUAAACCUAUAGUAGUUUCCCGCCUUUAACAGGCCGAGUAAAGUUCUAGCCAGCUGCGCCAGAGAAUACCAUGGGCUUUUAACAGGAUAAAACCUAGAUUGGGGUAGCAUUGGGCCGAAAAAUUCACGGGCCAAUACAGGCCGAAACUGCCUAAGGCCCAUGUUUGGCCCAAAUAGGACGAGCAGUUAACAAGCCAAAAUAUAUCUCGGGCCUGUUUGGCCCAAUAAAAUUAUGGGUUUAAGCAGGCUGGUAUCCACACGGGCCAUAGGCCCAAAAGUGUCACGAGCCAUUAUCAGAUAGGCUGUAAGUAGGCCGGAUUCAACGCGGGCUGUAAUUAGGCACAACUAUUACACUGGCCAUUAACAAGCCGAUAGGCCAGUUGGGCUGAAAUUUACCACGAAGACUAUGGGCUGUUAAGAGGCCUAAAGUUACUUCGAACAAGAAAUAGCCCAGUUUCUGCAUGGGCCGUUAAAUGGCCUAAAGUUAAACCGGGCCGGCAACGUCCCAGAUGCACCACGGGCCGCUAACAUGCCGAAACUAUUAUCGGGCCGAACUGGUAAACGAGCAUUUAACAGGCUGAAAUACAAACAUGUCUUAGAAUGUGCCCAAAAGAACAGUGGCCUGUUAACGGGCCUGAUCCGAUAUGGGCCGUAAUUUGGCCCAAAACACGGCAGGCUGUGAACGAGCCUGAUCUGGUAUGGGGCUCAAUUUGACCCAAAACAUGGCAGGCUGUUAACGUGCCAGCCCACUAGUGUCUGAAAAAACAUGAUGGGCCUUUAGCUGGGCCAGCCUUUUCACCGGAAUGGGCCUUUGUUGGGCCGUGCCAUGUGUCGACGUAUCAUAGGCGCCUCAUGUCCAAUGAGUGGAUGACAUCUGUCCCAACGGUGAGCAAACACGUGCUUCCUCCGGCCAAUGAGAAUUUUACACGUGGAAAAUCCCCAUUGGUCCGGGCUGUUAACGGGUUAUCGGAUCCAAAACCGGACCCGAUAGCUUAACGGCGACCUGUUACAGUCGAUGCCACGUGUCGGUCACCCUUGACGAAAGCACUUCUAUGACGCGCGAUUUAUUGUCAUGGAAGAGGACACUUCCGUGAUGAUAAUUUUGGUAAUGUCAUGGAACACUUAUACGACAGCACAUGAAUGACUAUCUUGAUUCUGUCAUAAAAUCGUCAUGGAUGUACAUGCAUGACAGAAAACGUGACCUACUGUGACAAACAUGUAUCAUCAUGGAACUCGGAGUGACAAAUCCUAAUCUCGAUCUAUGCCAACCCAACAAACACCUUCGGAGAUACCUGUGGAGCAUAUUUAUAAUCACCCAGUUACGUUGUGACGUUUGAUAGCACACAAGGUAUUCCUCUGGUAUCCGGGACCUGCAUAAUCUCAUAGUCGAAGGAAUAUGUAUUUGACAUGAAGAAAGCAAUAGCAAUAAAACUGAACGAUCAUAAUGCUAAGCUAACGGAUGGGUCUUGUCCAUCACAUCAUUCUCCUAAUGAUGUGAUCCCGUUAUCAAAUGACAACUCAUGUCCAUGGUUAGGAAACCUUAACCAUCUUUGAUCAACGAGCUAGUCAAGUAGAGGCUCACUAGGGACGCGGUGUUUGUUUAUGUAUUCACACAUGUAUUUAGCUUUCCGAUCAAUACAAUUCUAGCAUGAAUAAUAAAACUUUAUCAUGGAUAAGGAAAUAUAAAAUAACAACUUUAUUAUUGCCUCUAGGGCAUAUUUCCUUCAGUCUCCCACUUGCACUAGAGUCAAUAAUCUAAUUCACAUCGCCAUGUGAAUAACACUCAAAGAGUAAUGAGGUGUGAUCAUGUUUUGCUUGCGAGAGAAGUUUGGUCAACGGGUCUGUUACAUUCAGAUCCGUAUGUAUUUUGCAAAUUUCUAUGUCUAAAAUGCUCUGCAUGGAGCUACUCUAGCUAAUUGCUCCAACGUUCAAUAUGUAUCCAGAUUGAGACUUAUAGUCAUCUAGAUUAGUGUCAAAGCUUGCAUCGACGUAACUCUUUACAACGAACUCUUUAUCACCUCCAUAACCGAGAAACAUUUCCUUAGUCCUCUUUAAGGCACCUAAGGAUAAUUUUGACCGCUGUCCAGUGGUCCACUCAUGUCCAUGGUCAGGAAACCUUAACCAUCUUUGAUCAAUGAGCUAGUCAAGUAGAAGCUCACUAGGGACACGGUAUUUGUUUAUGUAUUCUCACAUGUAUUUAGGUUUCUCAUCAAUACAAUUCUAGCAUGAAUAAUAAACAUUUAUCAUGAAUAAGGAAAUAUAAAAUAACAACUUUAUUAUUGCCUCUAGGGCAUAUUUCCUUCACCGACAUAGGCCACCACUGCCAGUCUAAGUCGCUGCUCUAGAUCAUCCAUCUCCGGGUUCUGACAGAGGACAAAGAUGCCACCGACUUCUUGCCCAGACCCCAUAGGCACGGUGUCAACCGCUAUCGGCAAGGGCCUCACCACCGGAGAGACCUACCGAGUCGUCGGCGACAGCCUGCUCGCAGGUCCGGCAGGCAGCAACGGUAGGGUUGUCCGUGCCACCUUGGCCACGGCAUCACGCCAGAGCUCCUCCUCCGACCUAGGGCUCCUUGGCCACUUGCAUUUCGAGGAGAUAUGGCCCUCGAGACCGCAAGGGAUGCACAUCGGCUUGAACGUGCAAUCUUCCUUGUGGUGACCCUCCCGGAAGCACUUGAAGCAGAGGUCGAACAUGUCCGAUGGGAUUUCUCUCCUUUCCAGCAAGGAGGAUGACGAGCGCGGUCUCGACCUGCCCGCUUCCGCCUGCUUUUGAAGCACCUUCCUCUUGCACCACAUCGCCUUGUGUGAGGGGCGUGGCUUCCUCCAUGGCGCCGUCGGGCCCGAAGCAGGGCCAUGUUGGGGAACGUAGUAAUUUCAAAAAAAUUCCUACGCACACGCAAGAUCAUGGUGAUGCAUAGCAACGAGAGGGGAGAGUGUUGUCCACGUACCCUCGUAGACCGAAAGUGGAAGCGUUAACACAACGCGGUUGAUGUAGUCGUACAUCUUCACGAUCCGACCGAUCAAGUACCGAACGCACGGCACCUCCGAGUUCAGCACACGUUCAGCUCGAUGACAUCCCUCGAACUCCGAUCCAGCCGAGUGUUGAGGGAGAGUUUCGUUAGCACGACGGCGUGGUGACGAUGAUGAUGUUUUACCCACGCAGGGCUUCGCCUAAGCACCGCUACGAUAUUAUCGAGGUGUAAUAUGGUGGAGGGGGGCACCGCACACGACUAAGAGAUCAAUAGAUCAAUUGUGUGUCUCUGGGGUGCCCCCCUGCCCCCGUAUAUAAAGGAGCAAGGGGGGAGGCGGCCGGCCUAGGAGGAGGGCGCGCCAAGGGGGGAGUCCUACUCCCACCCACCGGGAGUAGGACUCCUCCUUUCCUUGUUGGAGUAGGAAAAGGGAAGGGAGAAGGAGAAAGAAGGAAGGGGGCGCCCCCUCCCCCCCCCCCUCCCUAGUCCAAUUCGGACUAGUCCAUGGGGAGGGGUGCGGCCUCCCUUUGGGGCCUUUCUCUCCUUUCCCGUAUGGCCCAUUAAGGCCCAAUACGAAUUCACGUAACUCUCCGAUACUCCAAAAAAUACCUGAUUCACUCGGAACCUUUCCGAUGUCCGAAUAUAGUCGUCCAAUAUAUCGAUCUUUAUGUCUCGACCAUUUCGAGACUCCUCGUCAAGUCCCUGAUCUCAUCCGGGACUCCGAACUCCUUUGGUACAUCAAAACAUAUAAACUCAUAAUAUAACUGUCAUCGUAACGUUAAGCGUGCGGACCCUACGGGUUCGAGAACUAUGUAGACAUGACCGAGACACCUCUCCGGUCAAUAACCAAUAGCGGAACCUGGAUGCUCAUAUUGGCUCCCACAUAUUCUACGAAGAUCUUUAUCGGUCAAACCGCAUAACAACAUACGUUGUUCCCUUUGUCAUCGGUAUGUUACUUGCCCGAGAUUCGAUCGUCGGUAUCUCAAUACCUAGUUCAAUCUCGUUACCGGCAAGUCUCUUUACUCGUUCCGUAAUACAUCAUCCCGCAACUAACUCAUUAGUUACAAUGCUUGCAAGGCUUAUAGUGAUGUGCAUUACCGAGUGGGCCCAGAGAUACCUCUCCGACAAUCGGAGUGACAAAUCCUAAUCUCGAAAUACGCCAACCCAACAAGUACCUUUGGAGACACCUGUAGAGCACCUUUAUAAUCACCCAGUUACGUUGUGACGUUUGGUAGCACACAAAGUGUUCCUCCGGUAAACGGGAGUUGCAUAAUCUCAUAGUCAUAGGAACAUGUAUAAGUCAUGAAGAAAGCAAUAGCAACAUACUAAACGAUCGAGGGUUAAGCUAACGGAAUGGGUCAAGUCAAUCACAUCAUUCUCCUAAUGAUGUGAUCUAGUUAAUCAAAUGACAACCCAUGUCAAUGGCUAGGAAACUUAACCAUCUUUGAUCAACGAGCUAGUCAAGUAGAGGCAUACUAGUGACACUCUGUUUGUCUAUGUAUUCACACAUGUAUUAUGUUUCCGGUUAAUACAAUUCUAGCAUUAAUAAUAAACAUUUAUCAUGAUAUAAGGAAAUAAAUAAUAACUUUAUUAUUGCCUCUAGGGCAUAUUUCCUUCAGGCCAGUGGGCACCUCGCCCGCCCCCGCCGAGGCGUGCGCAGAUGCAGGCGACGCCGACCACCACAGGCCAGAAACCACAGGGUGCAGCCUCGAGGACACUGACGCCGGGCUAGCAGAGUCGGGCGCCAUGGCCGCAGGACCAGAGAGGUCAGCUGCGCCGAGCGGGUGGGCGCCGGAGACCGGAGUGGUCACUGGCGAAGGGUGGGUGGGCGUCGGGGCCAGAGUCGAGGGAGGGGAGAGCAAAGUUGUGUCAAGCCUACUAUUUUCAAAGGUACCUUGUAUCAGACAUGUCGUUUCGUUGUUAUGGAAUGGAGCCGGGGCUGUAGCCAUUUUCCUCUAAAUAUAAAUGGAGCAAGGCCAUGGGUGUACGAUACUAAUGCUUACCAGCUUGACAGGAUACUGAGCAGGAAGCUCCAGAUGCCUCGAUUCUGAUGGAGCAGGUCUUGAUGCGUAAACGACAGCCAAAUCGAUCACCCCGCGCGGCCUGGGCGAGGCCGGCAUUCCGUCGAACAGAGUGCGGGCACCCGCUUACUCUUUCCUCGACGGCGAAGCCUUCAGUCUCUGUUCCCCUCGAUGGAGACGCGCUCGGCCGAGGCAGAGGCCCCCACGCGGCAGGGGCACUUGUGGCGUGGCGCCCCGAGCCGCGGCCACCUGCGUGCCCAGAUUCCAUCGCCCCACCUCAGUGCUCGCGCGCGCGACGCGAGUAGGCGCGAGUGCGGCACGAAUCUGAUCCUCCCAUAUAAGAAGAAGAGGGGGUGAGUGGGCGGAUGGGAACACGGCCCAGCCCGCGAAACCGAAUCCUCCCUCCUCCUCCUCCUCCGGGUGCUGCUUCGGAAUCGGUACGACUGAUCCCCUCCCAUCUCCAUUUCUAUAGAGUUUCGUAUUGAUUUCUCUUUUCCCCUUGCUUGAUCUCCGCGGGCUCGUUCAUUAUCUGGUUCUCACGAAUUUGUUUGGCUCAUCGGUGGCUUAAUUUGUGAAGUGUGAUCCUUGUUCACCGUGGAUUUCCUCAUCUGCGCGUCAAUUUUCAGAUUGAAUAAUAGGUCAUCAGUCCGGAAUUAUAUGUGGCAAGUGGGAAUCCUAAUCCAUACUUUCCUUUCCCUUCCCCCCUUUCCUUCUCCUCCUCCUAUAGCCUUAUAGGGCGCACCAGCCCCUUGUGGGCUGGUGUGUUCCUUCACAAGGCCCAUAUGGCCCAUAGGAUUGCCGGGGGUACCCGAAACACCUUCCGGUGACCCGAUAAGUACCAGAUACCCUCCGGAACACUUCCGGUGUCCGAAUACUAUCGUCAUAUAUAUCAAUCUUUACCUCUCGACCAUUUCAAGACUCCUCAUCAUGUCUGUGAUCUCAUCCGGGAUUCUGAACAACAUUCAGUCACCAAAUCACAUAACUCAUAUAAUACUAUAUCGUCAUCGAACGUUAACGUGCGGACCCUACGAGUUCGAGAACUAUGUAGACAUGACCGAGACACCUCUCCGGUCAAUAACCAAUAGCGAAACCUGGAUGCUCAUAUUGGCUCCUACAUAUUCUACAAAGAUCUUUAUCGGUCGAACCGUUAUGACAACAUACGUUAUUCCCUUUGUGCAUCAGUAUGUUACUUGCCCGAGAUUCGAUCGUCGGUAUCUUCAUACCUAGUUCAAUCUCGUUACCGGCAAGUCUAUUUACUCGUUCCGUAAUACAUCAUCUUGCAACUAACUCAUUAGUCACUUUGCUUGCAAGGCUUCUUAUGAUGUUUAUUACCGAGAGGGCCCAGAGAUACCUCUCCGAAACUCAGAGUGCCAUAUCCUAAUCUCGAUCUAUGCCAACCCAACAAACACCUUCGGAGAUACCUGUGGAGCAUAUUUAUAAUCACCCAGUUACGUUGUGACGUUUGAUAGCACACAAGGUAUUCCUCCGGUAUCCGGGAGUUGAAUAAUCUCAUAGUCGAAGGAAUAUGUAUUUGACAUGAAAAAAGCAAUAGCAAUAAAACUGAACGAUCAUAAUGCUAAGCUAACGGAUGGGUCUUGUCCAUCACGUCAUUCUCCUAAUGAUGUGACCACGUUAUCAAAUGACAACUCAUGUCCAUGGUUAGGAAACCUUAACCAUCUUUGAUCAACGAGCUAGUCAAGUAGAGGCUCACUAGGGACACGGUGUUUGUUAUGUAUUCACACAUGUAUUUAGCUUUCCGAUCAAUACAAUUCUAGUAUGAAUAAUAAAACUUUAUUAUGAAUAAGAAAAUAUAAAAUAACAACUUUAUUAUUGCCUCUAGGGCAUAUUUCCUUCAGUCUCCCACUUGCACUAGAGUCAAUAAUCUAAUUCACAUCGCCAUGUGAAUAACACUCAAAGAGUAAUGAGGUGUGAUCAUGUUUUGCUUGUGAGAGAAGUUUAGUCAACGGGUCUGUUACAUUCAGAUCCGUAUGUAUUUUGCAAAUUUCUAUGUCUAAAAUGCUCUGCAUGGAGCUACUCUAGCUAAUUGCUCCCACGUUCAAUAUGUAUCCAGAUUGAGACUUAUAGUCAUCUAGAUUAGUGUCAAAGCUUGCAUCGACGUAACUCUUUACAACGAACUCUUUAUCACCUCCAUAACCGAGAAACAUUUCCUUAGUCCUCUUUAAGGCACCUAAGGAUAAUUUUGACCGCUGUCCAGUGGUCCAUUCAUGUCCAUGGUCAGGAAACCUUAACCAUCUUUGAUCAACAAGCCAGUUAAGUAGAGGCUCACUAGGGACAUGGUAUUUGUUUCGAUCAAUACAAUUCUAGUAUGAAUAAUAAACAUUUAUCAUGAAUAAGGAAAUAUAAAAUAACAAUUUUAUUAUUGCCUCUAAGGCAUAUUUCCUUCACCGACAUAGGCCACCACUGCCAGUCUAAGUCGCUGCUCUAGAUCAUCCAUCUCCGGGUUCCGACAGAGGACAAAGAUGUCACCGACUUCCUGCCCAGACCCCAUAGGCAUGGUGUCAACCGCUACUGGCGAGGGCCUCACCACCAGAGAGACCUACCGAGUCGCCAGCGACAGCCUGCUCGCAGGUCUGGCAGGCAGCAACGUAGGGUUGUCCGUGCCACCUUGGCCACGGCAUCACGCCAGAGCUCCUCCUCCGACCUAGGGCUCCUUGGCCACUUGCAUUUCAAGGAGAUAUGGCCCUCGAGACCGCAACGGAUGCACACCGGCUUGAACGUGCAAUCUUCCUUGUGGUGACCCUCCCGGAAGCACUUGAAGCAGAGGCCGAACAUGUCCGAUGGGAUUUCUCUCCUUUCCAGCAAGGAGGAUGACGAGCACGGUCUCGACCUGCCCGCUUCCGCCUGCUUUUGAAGCGCCUUCCUCUUGCACCACAUCGCCUUGUGUGAGGGGCCUGGCUUCCUCCAUGACGCCGUCGGUCCCGAAGCAGGGCCAGGGGGCACCUCGCCCACCCCCGCCGAGGCGUGCGCAGAUGCAGGAGACGCCAACCACCACAAGCCAGAAACCACAGGCUGCAGCCUCGAGGACACCGACGCCAUGGCCGUAGGACAAGAGGGGUCAGCUGCGCCGAGCAGGUGGGCGCCGGAGACCGGAGUGGUCAUUGGCCAAGGGUGGGUGGACGUCGGGGCCAGAGUCGAGGGAGGGGAGAGCAAAGUUGUGUCAAGCCUACUACUCCCUCCGUGCGGAAAUACUUGUCGGAUGAAUGGAUGUAUCUAGAUGUAUUUUAGUUUUAGAUGCAUCCAUUUAUAUUCAUUUUCGUGACAAGUAUUUUCGGACGGAGGGAGUAUUUUCAAAGGAGGGGAAGAUAUCUGGUGCUCCGGGAGCACCUAAACUUAAGUGCUCCGGGAGCUUCUCAGUCGUUGGAUCUAAAAUCCAAAGGCCAUGGAGAGAGCUCGCGCAUUUAUUCAAAAAAAAAACACCUAGAAGUCCGUUAUUACAACCAGAUCCAACGCAUCCCUAGAUGACCGUGAGAUUAUAGAUCCAACGGCUGAGAAGCUCCCGGAGCACCUAAGUUUAGAUGCUCCCGAAGCACCAUAUAUCUUCCCUUCAAAGGAGUACCUUGUACUCCCUCCGUCCGAAAAUACUUGUCGAAGAAAUGCAUAAAAAUGAAUGUAUCUAGAACUAAAAUAUAUCUAGAUACAUGCAUUCCUCCGACGAGUAUUUCCAGACGGAGGGAGUAUCAGACAUGUCGUUUCGUUGUUGCAAUGGAGCCGGGGCGCCUGGAGCCCUUUUCAUCUACAAAAAAUGGAGCAAGGCCAUGGGUGUACGAUGCUGAUGCUCACCAUCUUCACAGGAUACUGAGCAGGCAGCUCCUGAUGCCCCGAUUCUGGCGGAGCAGGUCUUGAUGCGCCAAACGACGGCCAAAUCGAUCGCCCGGGGCGGGGCGGGCGAGGCCGGCAUUCCGUCGAACAGAGCGCGGGCGCCCGCCUACUCUCUCCCCGACGGCGAAGCCUUCAGUCCCUGUUCCCCUCGACGGCGACGCGCUCGGCCGAGGCAGAGGCCCCCACGCGGCAGGGGCGCUUGUGGCGUGGCGCCCCGAGCCGCGGCCACCUGCCUGCCCGGAUUCCAUCGCCCCACCUCAGUGCUCGCGCGCGCGGCGCGAGUGGGCGAGUGCGGCGCGAAUCCGAUCCCCCCGUAUAAGAAGAAGCGGGGGUGAGUGGGCGGAUGGGAACGCGGCCCGGCUCGCGAAACCGAAUCCUCCCUCCUCCUCUCCUCCGGGUGCUGCUUCGGAAUCGGUACGACUGAUCCCCUCCCAUCUCUCGUUUUGAUUUCCCUUCCCCCUUGCUUGAUCUCUGCGGGCUCGUUCAUGAUCUAGAGGUCAUGGAAUGAAUGAACGCCAUGAUACAUGGAUCGAUCGCAGAUGAAUCUGGUUCUCAGGAAUUUGUUUGACUGAUCGAUGGUUUAAUUUGUGAACUGCGAUCCUUGUUCACCGUGGAUUCCUCAUCUGCGCGUUAAAUUUCAAAUUGAAUAAUAGGUCAUCAGUCCGGAAUAAUAUGUGGCAUGUUCAACCGGUGUUGAGCAGAAGUCCUGAAACAAAGAGAAAUUGCCUGUGAGGUAUACGGGAUAGUUGCCGCCAAGAUCAAAGAGCUUAGCCAAGCUUACUCGCAGCCACCUCUUAUAGUCCGAAUUAAUCCAUUUUAAAUUUGUCUAGCUGCAUCAAAUUUCAAACUGAUUAAAGAACUUCAAUUCUUUAGCACCUAAGGUCGAAUAUAUCCCUGGACGGAUAUAGCACGCUGAUGCAUGCGUUUAUCUCCGGCGUUUACGGUAGAUUCUACAUAUAUAUUUUGUCGUUACUUCUCUAUGUUUUCAAUUUUUCUUUGAUAAAAGUGGAGCUCUGCCAAUCAGUUAAAAGAAAUCCGGUCAGUAACAAGUAAUAAGUUCUUUUUAGCAGAAAUUGCCAAUUCAUGAGCUAGCCAGAUUUCGAAGAUGAACAUCCAAUACCUAGCUAUCCAUGUCAAGAGAAGCCCUCCUCCUUUCGUGCACACUUUGUGUUCGCCAUCUGCACCUUCCUGACGACCACGUCAUUGCAUCACAUAGUAUCGUAGUGAUUAACUUCUCAAAAUUGUCUCAGAUACUACCAUCGAACUUGGCCUUAGGACCUACAAGUACAUUUUUUGGCAAAGAAACCCACAAAGGAGGCGCCAUUUUUGUUUAUCUUUUGCUAGCGAGUUUGGCUGAGACCUUUUUUCUUUACUUGCACCGGAUGUUGUCACUAUGUUUCGUUAUACUUUGAUAGUGGAAACCUUGCAUAAGGGUUGUAUGGGGAAAAAAGUAGAAGGCGCCUAAAGCGAUAUUAGUUUGUUCUUCUCACGUCAAUCUUCAUGUCUGAUCCACCAUCUUCCAACGACAUUUUGAGGUACAUGCCCAACCAUGUGUGAGCAACGCAUUUUCAUCAUGGCCCAUGUAAAAAUGGGUUGUGCAACCUUCAUAGUGAUAUUGAUAAGAUAAGGAAAGCGCGAAUAAAGUUUGGGAGAACAGGGGGACAUGGUCCGAUCCACCACUGGGUGCCACUUUAUACCAUCAUCUUGACUUGUUUUUUUUUUUGCUGGGAAUCUUGGUUUGUGAUUAGCAGCAUGCAUGUUGAUCAUGUGUAAUGUUGUAUGCUAAUCCAAAUACAUGAAUCCUUUUUACCAUGACUACUAAACCCUGAGAACAGGAUGGCAUGAGCAGUCAAACAAUGCCACGGCUUGUAGACCUUGUGCAUUUGGUUGGAAUAAGAAAUUACAGCUACACAGACCCUGUGUUACAUGGGUCAAGUCAGCUUAGCCCAAGAUUUUUUCAAAAAUUGUUCGGCUAGCCCUCCCAUCCUUAAUCCACCUGCAAAUGACACUCCUUGGCAUAUGUUGGGAACAUAUCAUGCCAUCCAUGACUGGGGCACAGGCUCCAUGGUCGAAAAACCUGUUCUCGGGAAUGAAGCUCUCAUAGUCAACUCAUCACCGUACUCCACCUCCACGGAAAAACACAUUUAGGUUUAAGCACAAAGAGAAGCGACUCGUCCUAGCAAUUGCUCCAAAGUAGGACCCACACCACUAUGUAUCUCCUCUCCACCCACAUGGGUCCAAGUUCUAGAGCUUGUAUAGGUGCACAUGGCUUGUGGCCCUCGUCACAAAUUGGUAAAGCUAGACAACUCGAUAUACAAUGAUUGAGUAAGCUACUAUGGCUUUGAGCUGGAAUAAUGUUUCAGAUUGUUACAUCAAUGGUUAUACAAUUCAUACAUGCUAUGACAAUCUAAUAUAUAUACUUCUUCUCCAUGUAAUAUUUCUUUUCUCUCAAUAUAAUUUGCUGAGGAUAAAUACUUUCACAUUUUCUUAGAGAUACAUCCUUGCAGGUAAGUCAGCAACGCAACAAUGGAAGAAGGGAAAGACAAGAAUAACACCACCGAGAAGGGGCUGUUCUCAAACAUGAUGCAUGGUUAUCCACCUCAUGGAGGAUACGGAUACCCUCCUCAAGGUUACCCGCCACCGGGGGUCCCCUACCCUCCUCCCGGGGCGUAUCCUCCUCCACCACAAUAUGGGUACCCUCAGCCCGGUGGCUACCCACCUCACGGUGGAUAUCCCCCCGUCGGCUACCCUGGUAUGCAUUGCUUGUUGAUCAGUUAUACAUAAUGCACGUCCUAAUUGUGUCGUGUCUGGGGAGUUAAUUUGCUCAGUUGGACCUCAAUGAUAUGAGCAACACUGUAAUUGAUCUUUCAGUUAUUAGCUCGGAUUUAUUUAUGUCAUCACUUCUUGAUAAUCUGUUUCAGGCUACGGGGGUGGCCACGGAGGCCAUGGCUACGGCGGCGGGCACAUGGGCUACGGAGGCGGCUACGGCGGCGGCAGCCAUGCUCUCGGGCACCACCACGGAGGCCACGGCUACGGCCAUUAUGGUCACGGAGGCCAUGGCUACGGACACCACGGUCACGGACACUACCACGGCGGGCACGGCUGGGGGCACCAUGGCCAUGGAUAUCACCACCACCACCACCACGGCAAGCACGGUUACGGCAAGUUCAAGAAGUGCAAGUGAUGUGCGUCUGCGCAUGGUGAUUGCGCCUCAUCAACUAUCUUAAGUAAGCUUGGUUCCAGAAAUACCCCCGCGGCUGGGAAGAGCGGUAGCAUGUCUCCUGUGAGACUGCGAUGAUGCAAUGCACCUGUGCUGUUACGAUAUACCAUAUAAUUUGGUGCGGUAUAGCUAAUAAGGUUUGAUAAUAAGUAGCGGAAUCAGAUGCCAGUCAUUUGCUGCAGUUCAGACGUUCUAUUUCGUCCGUACACAGAUGUGCUAGCUAGAUAUCAUGCUCGAUCAGAUCAGUGCUCAGUGCAUGCCCCUAGUACACACGUCAUGUGAAGGACGGCGCCUGGGUGCGACCGUGGUGAUCAUCCUGCGCAGUUGCACGGCGCAAGGCCGGCGUUCAUCAUGUAGUGGCAGGCUGGCAGCCGCUGGGGAGGCGAGCUCCGGCGAGCAGCUACCCCCUCCCUCCCUACCGUGCCACUAAUAAGUAGCGGAAUCAUAUACCACAUAUCAGUCAUUUGCUGCAGUUCAGAUGUUCUCUUUCGUCUAGCUACUGGCUAGCUAGAUAUCAUGCUCGAUCAGAUGAGUGGUCAGUUCAUACCGCUAGUACGCACGUCAUGUGAAGGCCGGCGCCUGGGUGCGACCGUGGUGAUCAUCCUGGGCAGCCACGGCGAGAGGCCAGCGUUCAUCAUGUAGCAGUGGCAGGCUGGCAGGCGCCGGGGAGGAGAGCUCCGACGAGCGGCGACUCCCUCCCUCCGUGCCGCGCCGUUCCUGGCCGUCGUGGAGGCAGCAAAAGAAACCAGAGCACAGCGUCGCACGCUCAAACGAGGCUCGUUUGUGUAGGCAAACACACAGGCUCAAGCGAGAGCAAAGAGAGUGUUUUUCUUUUUUGAGGGAAAUCAUGGUCUCUUUAUUGCAUGAUAAUAUAUGGUACAAUUGUAGUGUCAUUCCGCUGCAGCAGCCAGUUAUAUCGACCAUGAGCUAAUUAAUGAUACAACGCUUUUUAUAAAAUUGUGAGCCUCCAUAUUGGACAUUCUGCAUUCAUGGAUAAUCCGGACCAAUGCUUUUUUUGGGGGAGCAAAGAGAGUGUUUGGGAUAAAGACUGGCCCAAUGCUUUUGGACUCCUAAUCUGCUAAUUUGCCCGUCGCGUCUGCCUGGGCUGGUGGACCGAAUCCAGGCCCAGCCGGAGAAGCGCCCACACGCGCCACGUGCCGGCUGGUCGUCGUUUCAACGCGCAAAUAUCCCCUGAGCAAAGCAACGUGGGGUUCCUUCGCCGCGUUGCUUUCUUGCUCGCCCCCACGACGGACGACGCGCUUCGGCCGCGCCUGCCUCGAGCCGCGGGAGCCCAGGGCCCCCACCUGUCAUCCACGCGGCGUACCAAUGUCAAAUCCUAUCCAUCCACCCACGAAUAAUAACUCCAGGCCGCGGGACCCGCCCGGGAUUCGGUGCGCGGGCGAGGAGGAAGGUGCCAACGCCUGCGAUGCGAGCCGGAAGGAAGCGCGUACACGAGCCCACCGCCCCUGUAUAAAAUCCCCCAGCACACACAGCCACAGCAACCCAAUAUACACGGAGAAGAGAUCGUCAUCAUCCGCCAAACCAGAUCGGCUCGGCUGCUUCCUCUUCUUCAACUUCGCAGAAUCGCUGGUCUUCUCGUCCUCUAGGUAUGCGCGCCUCCUUAUCCAUUCCAUGCUCCUACAGUCCUGCGAAUCCGCGGCCCCUCUUGGCUCCGAGUAGUAGAUCGUGGUAAAUUUUACUGGAGGGGAUUUUUUUUUUUGCUCUGUUCGACCAACUGGGUGGGGAUUUUUUCCUUUUCGAGGUCGGCCCUGGGAAAGGGGGAUCGGUCACGGAUUUGGCUCCGCUGGAUCUGAGUGGCUGGUUGCCGUGAGAAAACCCAGUUCGUCGUUGUGGAAAGGGCGCCCAAAUUAGCCGUUAAUGUGUGCGAAGUCAUGCCCGAGGACUUUCGUCAGUUGGAUCGACGCGGCUCUUAAUCGAUCGAUCGAUCAUGCCAUUAGUUUGGCAGGGUUGUUGUGGAAUUCGUAGUCAGGAUGCGUAAGCUAAAUCUAGCGCUACUUGCACUGGGUUUGGGUAAAAAAACUCGCAGAGUCUCUCCGAUUGGUUAAUAAUCAUGUAUGUAUGCCCUUCCUUCAUGUUUGAUUAGCACAUGCAUGUUUCAACCGUCUUGUAUGAAUAGGUUGCCGCUUGUUAGGCACGAUGGACAUGGUUUGGUCAAGUGGAAAUUGAAAUGGGAAUUGAGUAGGCAGUUAGGCACGAUGGCUGGUUGUUGCUGCCCUGUUUAUUUUAGUCAGAGGACCAUGUCUGAUUGCUUGCACGCAGCACUCACUCAAGAAUAUGGUUCUUUUACCAAGUCAAAUGUUCUGUUGUGAGGACGGCUAGUUCUGCUCUAGCUGGCAUAAACACAUCAAUGUGGUGCUACCAGCUCUCGAACCGACAAGAAAAUUUGUUAACUGUACAUACAUAACAUGUCCUGGUGGCAAUUCAUAUGCUUGUAUGCAAAGAUUCCUUGAUCGUGAAAUUCGACUAGAAAAGGAAUGUGUGGCGCUGCUGCUGUUGUAAUGCCAACUUGUAUGCUUGUAGACAGCAAGAUUUCUCUAUCGUGUACUAACAUUUGCCUACCUGAUCAACAAUUUGUACAGUUAAGUCCCUCGACAGCAAUGGGAGGAGGCAACGACGGUCAUGGGUACCCACCCGGUGGCCAGGGGGGAUACCCUCCGCAAGGGUACCCGCCGCAGCAGGGAGGUUACCCUCCACAGCAAGGAUACCCGCCUGCACCUGGAGCUUACCCACCUGCACCUGGGGCAUACCCUCCUGCACCUGGGGCAUACCCUCCUGCGCCCGGAGCGGGUGGCAGUGACGGGGAGAAGGGGCUCCUCUCCAACAUCAUGCACGGUGUUGCCGGUGCUCAUGGUGGUGGCCAUGGCUACCCAUCUGGUGGCCACGGGUACCCCCCGCAGCAGCAUGGAUACCCUCAGCAAGGCUACCCUCCUCAGCAUGGCUACCCACCGCAACAGCAUGGCUACCCUCCACAGCAGCAUGGCUAUCCCCCUGCUGGCUACCCUGGCUCAUCUGGUAUAUACCACUCCCUUGUUUUUCAGUCAUUGAUAUUGAUAAGGAUCUGUGCAAAGCCAUCAUAGCACCCUCUCUGUUAGGAACAUUUACAUUUCCACGAUUUCUAUGCAUUUAUAUGUGUAGUAUGUGCUGGAUUGAUAUGCAUUUAGAUGUGUAGUAUGCGCUGCAUCUUCAACAGCCUGCAAUUUCAGUCUAGUAUAUGAGUGGUGGUUUAUCUUGAUGUUAAAGAGUCCCAAGUUCUGUUGUAUCAAACUUGUGUCAUUCUUCAGCAUCCGUCCUCAUCGGCUAUUGUUUUUUCAGGUCACAGUGGUAGCCAUGGAGGAGGAGGCAUGGGCAUGGGCGGCAUGCUAGCUGGAGGCGCAGCAGCUGCUGCCGCCGCUUACGGAGCACACAAGAUUUCUCACGGCGGCCACGGUGGAGGUGGACACAUGAUGGGAGGCAUGAUGGGCGGCCAUGGAGGCUAUGGCGGCGGGUACGGCCACCAC